AAGUCAUGUUGAGGGCAAUGUCGUAACAAUCUCUUGUAACGUUCCCAGGCUUCGUAUAAUGACUCGCCUUCUAAUUGUUGAAAAUUUUGUAUGUUUCUUUUAAGCUU